rnacentral:rRNA from 1 species
CUUGAAAAAGGGAGUUCAAGAAGAGCUUCGAAGAAGCUUUCUUGAUGGAGGGGAGUGGCAGACGGGUGAGUAACGCGUGGGAACAUACCCUUAUCUUCGGAACAACUCCGGGAAACUGGAGCUAAUACCGAAUGUGCCCUUAGGGGGAAAGAUUUAUCGGAUAAGGAUUGGCCCGCGUGGGAUUAGCUAGUUGGUGGGGUAAAGGCCUACCAAGGCGACGAUCCAUAGCUGGUCUGAGAGGAUGAUCAGCCACAUUGGGACUGAGACACGGCCCAAACUCCUACGGGAGGCAGCAGUGGGGAAUAUUGGACAAUGGGCGCAAGCCUGAUCCAGCCAUGCCGCGUGAGUGAUGAAGGCCUUAGGGUUGUAAAGCUCUUUCACCGGAGAAGAUAAUGACGGUAUCCGGAGAAGAAGCCCCGGCUAACUUCGUGCCAGCCGCCGCCGUAACAC